GAGGCCCCUGGCCCCUUCAUUCUAAAUUAUCUUUGUGUCUUUUGUUUUUCAUCCUCAUUUGCCUGCUAGUCAGAGAUAGACUCAUAGGCUGGUUCCCACAAGUGGUGCCCAAACAGGAUCCUGACCUGGGAAAGUCUGCCUGAAUGGAAGGUGUUGGGAAUAAGUGACAAGAAGUUCCACAGUGGAGAUGAGUUGAGCCAGCUGACAAGAAAACAAAAGAAAUGGAUGGGCAAUGUGGGUGCCCUCUAGGAACGUGCAACCACAGAGGAGUCCCCCCCUCUCAUGACAUGCCUGUGAUGGAGCUUGAUUGCUCUCUCCACCAGUGAGUGCCUCCUCCCAGAUGACAUUAGAUGACAUCUGCCACCUCAGGAGAGGAACUCAACAAUGUAUGCAAACACAACCACACUUCAUUUUGCUUCAGCUCCUGCUAUUACAAAAACAAAAAAGGUAGAUGUAGGAGACCACAUAAUGAGGAUUGAGGCCUAAUCGAUCUUCUCUGCAAGCACCAAAGAGAAAAACAGCAAGCCGCAUUUCCUCUGGCAAUGUGCAGGCAUGCUAGCACAUUGGAAGUUUUGGAGAAGAGUCAAUACAGUUGAGAUCUGGAUGUUUACUUGGGUACAUGCUAUAGAUAACA